rnacentral:rRNA from 1 species
UACGGAGGGUGCAAGCGUUGCUCGGAAUUAUUGGGCGUAAAGAGCUCGUAGGCGGUGUGUCGCGUCGGCCGUGAAAACCUGCAGCUUAACUGUGGGCUUGCGGUCGAUACGGGCAUCACUGGAGUUCGGCAGGGGAGACUGGAAUUCCUGGUGUAGCGGUGAAAUGCGCAGAUAUCAGGAGGAACACCGGUGGCGAAGGCGGGUCUCUGGGCCGAUACUGACGCUAAGACUCGAAAGCUAGGGGAGCAAACAGG